rnacentral:rRNA from 1 species
UGGGGAAUAUUGCACAAUGGGCGAAAGCCUGAUGCAGCAACGCCGCGUGAGUGAUGAAGGUCUUCGGAUUGUAAAGCUCUGUCUUUUGGGACGAUAAUGACGGUACCAAAGGAGGAAGCCACGGCUAACUACGUGCCAGCAGCCGCGGUAAUACGUAGGUGGCGAGCGUUGUCCGGAUUUACUGGGCGUAAAGGGUGCGUAGGCGGAUGUUUAAGUGAGAUGUGAAAUACCCGGGCUUAACUUGGGUGCUGCAUUUCAAACUGGANAUCUAGAGUGCAGGAGAGGAGAAUGGAAUUCCUAGUGUAGCGGUGAAAUGCGUAGAGAUUAGGAAGAACACCAGUGGCGAAGGCGAUUCUCUGGACUGUAACUGACGCUGAGGCACGAAAGCGUGGGUAGCAAACAGGAUUAGAUACCCUGGUAGUCCACGCCGUAAACGAUGAGUACUAGGUGUAGGAG